CCCGGCCCGACCGCCACGCCGGGGCCGGCCUACUUAAACCCGGCAGCUUCGCGUCGGGAGCCGGCGUGCCGGCGGCGGGCGGGGCGGGGCCGCCUCCCAGCUUCUGCUCCCCUGUCGGCAGAACCGCACCGCUUCGUCCCCAGCUACCUCACCGCACCGUCCUUCCGCUUCAUCGGUAACUCUCGUCUAGGAUCUACUCCAUAGAUGCGUCGCUUCUUCCCAUUGCCCAUCUUGCGCCUCGAGGCUAGCUACUCCGAGAUCCGCGUGUAUAGGGUUCAGCCGGUCAGAGAGCCAGCGAGGUUCACGUUGUUUCCCCCCAAUGUUUGUUGCGGUAGCGAGACGAGAUGCAUAGCGCCCCGCGCCGAAUCUGCUUCUUCCUAAUCAAAUUAGUCUGAUAUAUAUAUACUCCAGCGACGACCGAUUUCGUUCUAUGUCGUUCCAAUUCCUGAGAGCGCGGGGAUGCUGAGUGCUGCGUGGUGCUCGCUCACGGGACAUCUGAGGAGCCCGGUUCCUUUGUUUUGUUGGUCAAUGCUCGCUCGGUGCACUCUUCUUACUUCGGUGGCCUUCUCCGAGAUCCUUGUUCGGGUUUUCCGAACUGUUAAAUGCUGUUGGCAUUUGGUCGAAUCCGACACGACAGGCAAAUGCAUGCGGUGCUUCAGAUAUGACCCUGUUUGACAGCAUUUCUACUAGUAGUUUGAAUAGUGCAGUGUGCGGAAAUGCAAUUAAUCGCCUCCUUGCGGUGUGGGGAUGCUCUAGUGAUGACUUAUUUAUUUCACCUUGUAUGCCGUUCCAAUUCCUGAAAGUGCACGUCCAUGGGAUGCCGCACAUUGUGUGGAGCACAAGGGACAUCUGAGGAGUUUAAUUUGUUUUUAUUCUUGCUCAAUGCGUCCAGAACCCUUUUCUAUUCCAGUGUUCUUUGUUGAGUUGUCCGGUUGUCAAACUACUUUCAUGCUGCCGACAAGGGGCUAAAUUAGCAUGGGUUUACGCCUAGGGCUAAAUUAGCUUCAAUGGUGUAUUUUAGAGAUUUUUUGUACUUUGUAAGUAGGUAUUACAAAUACUAUUGUCACUACAUCUAGGGCUAUAGCCCCAUUUGCCAUAGGCUUGAUUCCGCCACUUCUGCCGAUGGUUGGUCUUGUAUGAUAUACCAUAAGUGAACAUGUCUACAACUUGAAAUGAUUCAUUUUCUAGAUUUCAGGUUUCAAAUGUUGCAAUGUAACAAAUUUGCUUCCUUAAGGCGUGGGAUGCUCCUGUGAUGACUUGUUUCGCCUCAUAUAUCGGUUCCAAUUCCUGAAAGCACAUCCACGAGAUGUUGCACGUUAUGUGGAGCAGAAGGGACAUCUGUGGAGUUAAAUGCUGGGAAAACUUUCAUUUAUUUAUUUCAGUGUUCUGCAUUCUGUUGUUCGAUUGCCAAACUAUUUUCAUGCUGCUGAACGUUGGUUGAAUUUGAUACCAUAUGUGAUCAUGUGCAUAUAACUUCAAAUGAUUCCUUUUAAGUUUCUGGUAUAAAAUGGUGCAGUGUAUCAAAUCUGCUUCCUGUAUGUGUGGGGAUACUCCAGUGAUGACUUACUUCACCUCAUAUAUCGUUCCAAUUCCUGAAAGCACAUCUACCGGAUGAUGCACAUUAUGUGGAGCAGAAGGGACACCUGAGGAGUUCAGUUUGCUUCUUCUAUUGCUUAAUGUUUGGAUAAAUCUUUCUAUUUUAAGUGUUGUUGUUGGAUAAUUUGUUUUCAUUUUAAUUUUUUCAUGCUGUUUGACACUUGGUUGAAACUGAUACCACAUGCAAACAUGUGUGGAGCAUCACAUAUGAUUAUUUUUUAUUGAGAUUUCUGGUUUGGCCUUCCGUUUCUUUUUGGGUGUUGUUGCAACUUUGUGUGGAACAUCGAAACAUCUUACGAGCAAUACGACUCGGCAAACCAAAUAAUGAGUUACAAAAACAAUAUAUAUUUUGAGACUGUUAGUCUGACUGGUUUACAAACUCUAGGCGUUGAAUCACAGAACUGACACUGUAUCUGCUAAUAUGAUUCUAUUUAUUUAUUUGCUCUUGUUCAGUGAAGUAGAAGGGGCAUCUGAGGAGUUUAAUCCAUUUUAUUCUUGCGCAGUUUGUGGAGAACCAUUUUUAUUUCACUGUUCUUCGCUGAAGCCUUGUUUGAUUCAGAAACUGUUUUCAUUUUCACUUUGCCCACAGCUACAGCUGGUUGGCUUUCAUACCGUAAGCGAACAUGUAUAACUUCAAAUGGUCCUUUUUUUCAAGAUUUCUGCUUUCAAAUGAUGCAAUAUAUCGACUUUGCUUAGUUAAGGUGUCAAACACUCCAGUGAUGACUUGUUUCGCCUUGUAUAUCGUUCCAAUUCCUGAAAACACAUCCAUGGGAUGCUGCACAUUUUGUGGAGCAAAAGGGACAUCUGAGGAGUUUCGUUUGUUUUUUUCUUGCUAAAUGUUUGAACAACUCUUUUUUAUUUCUGUGUUCUUCAUUGAGUCCGUUCGGUUUCCGAACUAUUUUCAUGCUGUCAUAAGUUGGUUGAAUUUGAUGCUAUAGGUGAAGGUGUAUAUAACUUCAAAUGGUUCCUUGAUUUAUGGUUUGAAAUGGUGCAAUGUACCAAAUCUGCUUCCUUAGGUGUGGGAUACUCCAGUGAUGACUUAUCUCACGUUGUAUAUCGUUCCAAUUCCUGAAAAAGCAUCCAUGGGAUGCUGCCCAUUUUGUGGAGCAAAAGGGACAUCUGAGGAGUUUAAUUUGUUUCUUUUCUCACUUAAUGUUUGGCCAACUCUUUUUGGUCCACUGUUCUUUAUUGAGUUGUUCGAUUUCCAAACUAUCACACUGCCGAUCAUUGGUUGAGUUUGAUAUCAUAGGAGAACAUGUGUAUAACUUCAAAUGGUUCCUUUUAAGAUUUCUGGUUUGACAUGGUGCGAUGUGUUAAGUCUGCUUCCUUAAGCUGUGGGAUACUCCAGUGAUGACUUAUUUCGCUUGUAUAUCGUUCCAGUUCCUGAAAGCACGUCCAUGGAUGCUGCACAUUUUGUGGAACAGAAGGGACAUCUGAGGAGUUCAAUUUGUUUAUUUUCUCGCUUACUGUUUGGAUAACUCUUUUCAUGUUACAUAUUGUUCUGGAGAAUUUGUUUGAUUUUGAUAUUUCUCAUGCUGUUUGACACUUGGUGAAUUUGAUAGAGACAUGCUACCUCAAAUUUUGGCUGCUCUUGGAACUUAGAUAGACAUCAGCGUUAUCUACCCCGGUACAAGUCGACAGAGCAAACGUUACCUGGUGUCAAUGGUAGGCCUAUAAAAGACCCCUCUUUGCUCUUUCACAAUUACAGACUGCUUAGUGAAAUGUGUUUUUCCUCGUAAAGUAGAUCGCUGCUGUUUUCUGUAUGCUGAUACAAUCAUACUCAUUAGACAGCUUGGUUUGCUAUUUUUGCAUGCAGGCUUGCUCCUACGGCCAGCAAACCUGCGAGGAUCUUCAAAUUUGAGUAUUUCUUUUUCAAGAUUUCUGGUUUGGUCUUUGGUGUAUUUUUGUAGCCUUUCCGAGUGAUACAACUUGGCGAGCCAAAUCAUUAGUUACAGAAACAAUAGAUAGUUUCAUAUUGUUAGUCUAACUGGUUUACAAACUCUAGGCGCUGAAUCACUUAAUUGAACUUGUAUCUGCUAAUCUGAUGAUAUUUACUUAUGUGUUUUGUUAGAUUAAGUAUUAGCAAGCAUUUGUUCACCAAUGGAGAAACCAACACUAGUUGCAAGUAUUGAUGAUCCAUUUGGUGGUCUUCAUCUGCUUUGCGCUUGACUACAAUCUCACAAGAAGCAUUUUUCUUGUGUGCAGAGUUAAUCACCCAGUUUCUCUUAAGCUCCUAAUCAAGGCAGGUGACUGAUUGAUUGCCUUGAUGCUUGAAUAACUGAGCAAUAUUCAACUGAUGGGGCCUCUCUUUUUUUUUUUGACCUACACUACAAGAGAAUGGGCUGAGAAAGUCAGGGAGGAGCUUGCUGACAGUGUUGGUCAUCGGAUGUUUUCCUCCGAAAGCAGCUCGGGUUAGGCACGAAAGCCAGGGUUGGAAGAUGGUUGCAACCAUGGGGUGAUGUGGGGCCGUGUCCAGGGUCUCGGCCACAACACAGCAGGGCUGUGAGCAGUCUCAGCCUGGCAUCAUGCAAACACAAACAGCUAACAUCCCAGUUCUCCACCUCGCAUGUGUUUCACCGCAUGAUUCUGCAGUCACAAGCUGCAACCCAGCAUAGUGAAUAGUGAGGGAUCCUGCUCACCCAUUUGCUGUAUUCAUCCCACCUCGCGUGCCCCUGUUUUCUGGGUUAACCACCGCUUUACUUUUAACACUGUCAAUCCUGUACAGAUGCACUCCCUUGCCUUAACUGUUUCGAGAAUCUGAUACUACACUACAUGAAAGCUUCACAUGUGAGUAAUUUUUGUCGAGAUUUGUGGUUUGGCCUUUCUUUUCUUUUCUGGGUGUUGCUGCAAACUUGUGUGGAACAUCCAAACAUUUUCCUAGUAUUACAGAAACAAUAGAUAUUUUGAUAUUGUUAGCCUUAACUGUUUUACAAACUCUAGGCAUUGAAUCACAGAGCUGAUGCUGGAUCUGCUAAUGUGAUGCUGUUUAUUUACUUGCUUAGUUCAUUCAAGUUUUAUCCAGCUUUUGUUCACCAUUGGAGAAACCAACACUGGUUGUAACUAUUUAUGGUCCACUGUAGUCUUCAUCUGCUCUGCACCUCACUAUAAUCUCAUAAGUCUUUUCUUCUCUGCAGAGUUAAUGACCCAGUUUCUCUUAAGCUCCUGAGCAAGGCAGGUGGUGGCCUUGAUGCUUGAAUAACCAAGCAAUAUUUGAAAGAUUGGUUUCCUUGCAUUGUGGGAUUGAGACCUUUAAAAUUGUUCUCCAUUUGUGUGACCCGCGCUACAAGAGAAGGUCUUGACAAAGCCAGGUUGGAACUUGUUGACAAAGUUUGUCAUCAAAUGUUAGCCUCCGAAGCUCGGGUCGGACACGAAGCCAGGGCUGGAAGAUGGUUGCGACCAUCAGGGGCGGAGCCAGUAUCUGGACAUGAGGGGGCGGAGCCAGGAUCUGGACAAUGUUCACAACAGUCGCGGGAUGUCAAUGAUAUGUUAAGUCCCGUGAUAGCGUUGAUGAUAAAUCUUCAAAAUACAUAUCUGGAACGAGAAAAGAAUGUAACAUUUCUGUUAACUUAAAUUUAGCCCUACAACCGCCCGUGUUACAAAAGUUCACUAUUUUCCUUACUGAUAUAGACAGUCAUAUAAUGUCGAAGAAAAUCGUCUUCAUUCUGUUUCAAAAACAUGUCUGUUGACACUGAAAGAGUUAACUGCAUUAAUCGAUGAUAGUUUUACUUGUUUAAUAUAAUCCAACGGUCAAAUCAAUAAGUGAAGAUGGUAUAUUUAGGUCUAGAUGGUUGCAAGCAUCCAGUGAGAUAUGUGCAAGUUUAGAGUCAAAUUAAGACCGUUCUUAACUAGAAAUGACUAUAAGAUUUAAAAAAAAUCCUAUGUGCAUAUCUUAGACACAUUGAAUAACUC
rnacentral:lncRNA from 1 species